rnacentral:rRNA from 1 species
UAGAUACCCCACUAUACCCGGCCGUUAACCUCGAUAGCCCCCUUCCACAAACCACUAUCCGCCAGAGGACUACAAGUGAAAAACUUAAAACUCUAAGGACUUGACGGUGCCCCACACCAACCUAGAGGAGCCUGUCCUAUAAUCGAUACCCCACGCUAAACCUCACCCCCCCUCGUCACCAUCAGCCUAUAUACCGCCGUCGCCAGCCUACCUAAUGAUAGACAUAAAGUAGGCUAAAUAGUACCACCACUAACAUGUCAGGUCAAGGUGUAGCUGAUGGGUGGGGCAGAGAUGGGCUACAUUUUCUCACCACGAGAAAACCAACCAUAAGCUACAUGAAAUUCUUAGCUAACCGGCGGAUUUAGCAGUAAACACAGGUAAGACUUGCCGUGUUGAAGCCUGCUCUGGGGCGCGUACACACCGC